CAUGCAGUCGAACGGCAGCACGGACUUCGGUCUGGUGGCGAGUGGCGAACGGGCUGAGUAAUGUAUCGGAACGUGCCCAGUAGCGGGGGAUAACUACGCGAAAGCGUAGCUAAUACCGCAUACGCCCUACGGGGGAAAGCAGGGGAUCGCAAGACCUUGCACUAUUGGAGCGGCCGAUAUCGGAUUAGCUAGUUGGUGGGGUAACGGCUCACCAAGGCGACGAUCCGUAGCUGGUUUGAGAGGACGACCAGCCACACUGGGACUGAGACACGGCCCAGACUCCUACGGGAGGCAGCAGUGGGGAAUUUUGGACAAUGGGGGAAACCCUGAUCCAGCCAUCCCGCGUGUGCGAUGAAGGCCUUCGGGUUGUAAAGCACUUUUGGCAGGAAAGAAACGUCGCGGGUUAAUACCCCGCGGAACUAACGGUACCUGCAGAAUAAGCACCGGCUAACUACGUGCCAGCAGCCGCGGUAAUACGUAGGGUGCAAGCGUUACUCGGAUUUACUGGGCGUAAAGCGUGCGG
rnacentral:rRNA from 1 species